GUGAGGAAUAUUGGUCAAUGGGCGAAAGCCUGAACCAGCCAUGUCGCGUGAAGGAUGAAGGUCCUAUGGAUUGUAAACUUCUUUUGCAGGAGGGUAAAGUUAGCUACGUGUAGUUCAUUGCAAGUACCCUGCGAAUAAGCAUCGGCUAACUCCGUGCCAGCAGCCGCGGUAAUACGGAGGAUGCGAGCGUUAUCCGGAUUUAUUGGGUUUAAAGGGUGCGUAGGCGGACUAAUUAGUCAGCGGUGAAAUUUUGCGGCUCAACCGUAAAACUGCCGUUGAAACUGUUAGUCUUGAGUGCGGUAGAGGUAGGCGGAAUGUGUGGUGUAGCGGUGAAAUGCUUAGAUAUCACACAGAACACCGAUUGCGUAGGCAGCUUACUGGAGCGCAACUGACGCUGAGGCACGAAAGCGUGGGGAUCGAACAGGAUUAGAUACCCGAGUAGUCC
rnacentral:rRNA from 1 species